rnacentral:rRNA from 1 species
GAUGAACGCUGGCGGCGUGCCUAAUACAUGCAAGUCGAACGAGGUGCUUUUUGUAGCAAUACGAGGAGUAUCCUAGUGGCGAACGGGUGAGUAACGCGUGGGUGACCUACCCCAAAGUGUGGAAUAACAGUCCGAAAGGAUUGCUAAUGCCGCAUGUGGUCUGCGAGUUUAGAAAUCGUUGACUAAAGGAGCAAUUCGCUUUGGGAGGGACCUGCGUCCCAUCAGCUAGUUGGUGAGGUAACGGCUCACCAAGGCUACGACGGGUAGGGGACCUGAGAGGGUGGCCCCCCCAANAAUGGAACUGAAACACGGUCCAUACACCGUACGGGUGGCAGCAGUAGGGAAUAUUGCACAAUGGGCGAAAGCCUGAUGCAGCAACGCCGCGUGCGCGAUGAAGGUCUUCGGAUCGUAAAGCGUCUUUUCUGAGAGAUGAGAAAGGACAGUAUCU